UUCAAAAGCACCAUAUUCAAACAUUCAAAAGCAACGAGAUUCAAAACAUUCAAAAAGCACCAACAAAAACCAUCAGCAAACAUUCAAAAGCACCAGCAAAACAACCAGGUACAAACAUUCAAAAGCAUCAGCAAAAACCCUAUGUCACCGCCCUGUUUUUCUUGUCGAACCGAACUUGAACCGAGUGAACCGUAACUGAACUAUGUCGAACCGAAAAUGAACCAAGAUCUGAGCCGAAACUGAACUGGGCAAACCCGAACCCAAAAUAAUCCCCAAAGCCAAAUCUGAAUCUGGACUGAAUGAACCCAUACUUGUACCAAAUCUCAAUCCUGAAACCUGAACCUAUUCCAACCUGAAAUCGGAGCUCCGCUGCAAAAAUUUCCACAGCCGCCGUCAGAGGGUCAUCGACCACCGGCAUCACGCGCUGCCACCAUGUUAACUCUUUUAUCAAACCCAUGUUCUUUUUCACUUUUUAAAAUAACAUAACCAAAGAAAUGAGAAAAAAAACUACCAACAAAUCUCAAAAAAAAUUUCAAGCUGAAAAGAUGCAAAAAGCUAAAGAUCUAAAUAUGAAGACUUUGAGGAGACAAAUGAGAGGAUGGUAA
rnacentral:lncRNA from 1 species